AUGAAGUAUGACGAGCGAUACACGGAGUAUAUCCGGAAGACCGGGCUUCUCCCUUUCAUCUCACUCGUGUCUCGUUCGAUGCCGAAGAUGAACCCUUGUGAGAUCACGGCACUCGUUGACCGAUGGCGCCCUGAGACACAUACUUUUCACUUCUAUGCUGGGGAGAUGACUGUCACUUUGCAGGAUGUUUCUCUGAUCACUGCACUUUCCAUCAAAGGAGAGCCUAUUUGUUUUAGCACAGAUUCAGAUGGAUGGCGUGAGAUUAUGGUUGGACUCAUUGGGAGGGAGCCAGGGGUAUAA
rnacentral:rRNA from 1 species